UUAGGGUGGCACAAAAGUAAUUGUGGUUUUUGCCAUUGAAAGUAAUGGCAAAAACCGCAAUUUCUUUUGCACCAACCUAAUA
rnacentral:miRNA from 1 species